UACGGAGGGAGCUAGCGUUGUUCGGAAUUACUGGGCGUAAAGCGCACGUAGGCGGUUAUUCAAGUCAGUGGCGAAAGCCCGGGGCUCAACCCCGGAACUGCCUUUGAAACUAGGUAGCUAGAAUCUUGGAGAGGUCAGUGGAAUUCCGAGUGUAGAGGUGAAAUUCGUAGAUAUUCGGAAGAACACCAGUGGCGAAGGCGACUGACUGGACAAGUAUUGACGCUGAGGUGCGAAAGCGUGGGGAGCAAACAGG
rnacentral:rRNA from 1 species